UACGGGGGGGGCAAGCGUUGUUCGGAAUUACUGGGCGUAAAGGGCUCGUAGGUGGCCAACUAAGUCAGACGUGAAAUCCCUCGGCUUAACCGGGGAACUGCGUCUGAUACUGGAUGGCUUGAGUUCGGGAGAGGGAUGCGGAAUUCCAGGUGUAGCGGUGAAAUGCGUAGAUAUCGGGAGGAACACCGGUGGCGAAGGCGGCAUCCUGGACCGACACUGACACUGAGGAGCGAAAGCCAGGGGAGCAAACGGG
rnacentral:rRNA from 1 species